UAGACUAUCAUUUUACAGAUGUAUGUUGAAAACGUUUUUGGGAGAUGCGAUGGAUCAUUGGGGAUCAUUCAAUAUUCCCUUUCUUUUGUUGUUCAGUGAAAUCAUCCCAUGUGAAGAAUCAAGUCAAGUUUAAUUCGUAAUUAUUUAAUCUUUUCUAUUGGAAGGGUUUAAUCAUUUGCAAUUAUUUCUAUUUAUGAUAAGGUUAAAGGUUUGUGUUUCUGUCUCCAUAUGAUAUGGUAAAUAUAUCCAAUGCAAAAAACAUCUACAUUUAAAUGGUAUUUAAUAUUAAUUCCCAUAUAUUCCCAUUAAUUCCCAUAUAUUCCCGUUAAUUCCCACGAAAGGUUUCCACCUCUGAAUAUUCCCCAAAAUGUGCAACUCUAAUGACAAGCAAAUAAUGAUAGACACACAAUACAAAUACAUGAUUAUGUAUUCCUUAUUUAUAACCUAUUUAUAACCUAUUACAAAAACAAAGAAAAAUAACGUUCCUCAUUGAGGCAUGCUGGGGCAAUAGUGGCCAAGCAAUCUAUCCAAUAUGUCUCUCUUUGGAGAAGUCAUAUAUCCCUAUCUCUUACCCUAAGUGGCGCCUUCACAAGGCAAGUAUGCGUGUUUGUGUGUGUGUUUUGUGUGCAGGUGUAUGCUCUCACACAGCAUAUUUUUGUGAAACGUGUAUGCAAGUGAACUCUACCCAUCCUUUUCUGACCAUCUCCCUGUUCUCUCAGAACAUCUCCCUCUCCGUCAGUGAUUCUGUGGUGGGGUGUAGUUACAGACACAGGUGUACUGGACUGAACAGCUACCAGGUACAGGUAUCUGGCUCAGAUUGGAUGGACUGCCCAAUUGGAGGCGCCAUUGAGGUGACAGGAUACAAGGGUUUAGUGUCCUGACAAGAGGUUGUGUCAUUACCCUGACAUUGAUCCCGCCAUCAACAACCUGGCAUCUCACUCUCCAGCUGCUUCCACGACAGGCCCAGUGACAUCUGAGAGUUUUUCUCAAUAGAAACUUAAUUAAAAUUGUAAUGACUACAUUGUAAAUGGAUAAGUCUUUUAGAAGCCUGCCUACCUUAAGCUUGAGACACAUUUUAUCCAGUUUCCAUGUAAUACUGCAUUCCAUUCCAUACAUACAGUAACAUGCCAUUUGAUUUGCGCCCUGAUCUGAAAUACCGGUUUUGACAUGACAAUGAACACAACAGGAGAGUUGGCUAAACACACAAACAGAUCUAGUAGCAGGCUAGCCUACCACUGUUCUGUAAUGCCCAAUUGGUAAGUGUAAAGUAUAAAGAGGCCCACAUACCAGGUCUCUUAUAAAAAGAGGUCUUCUGACCUCAAUGGGAAUUUAACUGGAUUAAUAAAGGUUAAAUCCUUGAAAAAAACAUAAAUUAUACAUAAUUCUGAUCCAUUGGGAAUAUAAUUGACACUCUUAUCAUUUCUCUCCCUCUGUGAUUUACUUUUUAAAAAUUUUAUUUUUUUAUUCUUUAUUUAACUAUGCAAGUCAGUUAAGAACAAAUUCUUGUUUACAAUAACGGCCUUUCCCCAGACAAACCCGGACGACGCUGGGCCAAUUGUGUGCUGCCCUAUGGGACUCCCAAUCACAUCCGGAUAUGAUGCAGCUUUGAUUCCUUGGUACAUUAGAACUCGAACCCUGACACGAGCCUGACCUUUGACCCCAGCCCCUCCUUCUCCAGUGCCAGGGGUCAGUACAGACCUGUACUGUGGUUGCAGUCCUGUAGAUCAGUGCUGCUGUCUGUCUCCUGGCUGCCCUGAUGGUGGCCUACAGGAGGUAUCACUCCUCCAGAGUCAGGGUGCAUGCUGACCAAAGUGAAUCAAGUGACUGCUGAUGGAAACUGGGACCCUAUUAUGGCCCUGAGAGUUUAUAGCCAGAGCUUCAUUUUAUAUUCAGUUGUUUGAAUAAACAAAAUAUACAUUGUU